CCCUUCCCCUCUCUCUUGGUUUCCCACUAACGCGUAUGUGCCCCCCUCCCCUCUCUCCCCUCUCUCUUCCCCCCCGCAGACUCCCCUAGCCCCCCUUUUUUUAUUCGGCUAACACAUCUUAUAAAAAUAUAAAAAAAAAAAAAAAAUAUCACAACUUUUGAAAAGUAGGUGUGAUAUAAUUUUAUAAUUUUUUUUUCAUUUCAUUCAUUAUUGUGUUUUUUGUUUUUUAUUUAUUUUUUAAUAUUUUGGUUAAAAACUCGAGAGCCAUGAUAUCCACAAGAUCCGCGAAGCACAGCAAAACGUAAUAUAUAGAGACCUCAUCCCCAAAACCCUAGUCAGUCGCCCACGCCCAUUCACUAAAACACUUGUCGUCUCUUCCGCGCAAAUGGCAAUCGCCAAAGCUAGGGUCAUCACCACCGUCACCUUCACUAGCAGUCUACGGCCGCACGUCUUCCCUCUCUGCCCUCGUCCGCAAACGCCUAUUGUCGUCUUCCCCUGCUGCCACUAUGAGCACUGUCUAAUCUUCAGGGCUCAGCCGGCGGCGAGGGGGCUACUGGGCAGCAGAUGAUCGAUUGUUACAUUCAAACCCCCGCGAAAGUCGUCGGAAGAUGAGUGUUCUCUGCUUUCUGUUUCGUAUUUGAGAAAUUGUGCGAAAGGAAUUGAUCCGUCCUUUCGAUGAACGCCUUCAAGGUGCAUGAAAGUUGAGUUCCGUGGCCUAGUGGCUCUAUAGAUCGGCUGGUGUUCUGUUUGCGCCUCCUGAUUCAUACUUUGAUUUUGGGUAUAAAGACUCUGGGGGUUGAGAAUUCUUAUGCAUUAGGUUGGCUUGGUUAUUUUGCCAACUAGUUACCAAAAUCACCUUUGGAGUAGGAUGCCAUAUGCAGUGUGUUACAGUCCCACUACAAAUGAAAAAAUAACUUAUUGGCCUUGGAGUGCUUUGAAUCAAUUUUUGUAAGAAUAUUAUGGGCCUGUGGGCCUUGUAUAAAGAACAGUCGAUAUUUUGUAUGUAGUAGAACCAUUGACAGUGAAAGUGAAAUAAAAGUAGCUCCAUUUAUUUACUA